UACAUGGGGUGCAAACGUUGCUCGGAAUUAUUGGGCGUAAAGCGCACGUAGGUGGUUCGUUAUGUCGGAUGUGAAAGCCCUCGGCUCAACUGAGGAAGUGCAUCCGAAACUGGCGAGCUAGAGUAUGUAAGAGGGUCGCGGAAUUCCCGGUGUAGAGGUGAAAUUCGUAGAUAUCGGGAGGAACACCGGUGGCGAAGGCGGCGACCUGGGACAAUACUGACACUGAGGUGCGAAAGCGUGGGGAGCAAACAGG
rnacentral:rRNA from 1 species